rnacentral:tRNA from 1 species
GAGGUCGUGGCGUAACGGCAGCGCGUCCGCCUUUUAAGCGGAACGGUAAGGGUUCGAAUCCCUUCGACCUCA